rnacentral:rRNA from 1 species
CCUACGGGGGGCAGCAGUGAGGAAUAUUGGUCAAUGGGCGAGAGCCUGAACCAGCCAAGUCGCGUGAAGGAUGAAGGAUCUAUGGAUUGUAAACUUCUUUUAUAUGGGAAUAAAGUGAGGAACGUGUUACAUUUUGUAUGUACCAUAUGAAUCAGCAUAGGCUAACUCCGUGCCAGCAGCCGCGGUAAUACGGAGGAUGCGAGCGUUAGCCGGAUUUAUUGGGUUUAAAGGGUGCGUAGGUGGUUAAUUAAGUCAGCGGUGAAAGUUUGUGGCUCAACCCUAAAAUUGCCGUUGAAACUGGUUGGCUUGAGGAGAUGUGAGGUAGGCGGGAUGCGUGGUGGAGCGGUGAAAUGCAUAGAUAUCACGCAGAACUCCGAUUGCGAAGGCAGCUUACUAAACUAUAACUGACACUGAAGCACGAAAGCGUGGGGAUCAAACAGGAUUAGAUACCCUUGUAGUC